rnacentral:rRNA from 1 species
GAUGAACGCUGGCGGCGUGCCUAACACAUGCAAGUCGAGCGAACAGACGAGGAGCUUGCUCCUCUGACGUUAGCGGCGGACGGGUAAGUAACACGUGGACAACCUACCUAUAAGACUGGGAUAACUUCGGGAAACCGGAGCUAAUACCGGAUAAUAUAUUGAACCGCAUGGUUCAAUAGUGAAAGACGGCUUUGCUGUCACGUAUAGAUGUAUCCGCGCCGCAUUAGCUAGUUUGUAAGGUAACGGCUUACGAAGGCAACGUUGCGUAGCCGACCUGAGAGGGAGAUCGGCCAGACUGGAACUGAGACACGGCCCCGACUCCAACGGGAGGCAGCAGUAGGGAAUCUUGCGGAAUGGAGGAGAGCGUAACGGAGCAAGGCGGCGUGAGUGAUGAAGGUCUUCGGAUCGUAAAACGAUGUUAUUAGGAAAGAACAAAUGUGUAAGUAACUAUGCACAUCAUGACGGUACCUGAUCAGAAAGCCACGGCUAACUACGUG